rnacentral:rRNA from 1 species
GAUGAACGCUGGCGGUAUGCUUAACACAUGCAAGUCGAACGGACUCUUCGGAGUUAGUGGCGGACGGGUGAGUAACGCGUGAGAAUCUGGCUUUGGGUUCGGGACAACCACUGGAAACGGUGGCUAAUACCGGAUGUGCCGAGAGGUAAAAGAGAAAUUGCCUGAAGAUGAGCUCGCGUCUGAUUAGCUAGUUGGUGAGGUAAAGGCUCACCAAGGCAGCGAUCAGUAGCUGGUCUGAGAGGAUGACCAGCCACACUGGGACUGAGACACGGCCCAGACUCCUACGGGAGGCAGCAGUGGGGAAUUUUCCGCAAUGGGCGAAAGCCUGACGGAGCAAUACCGCGUGGGGGAAGAAGGCUCUUGGGGUGUAAACCUCUUUUCUUAGGGAAGAACAAAAUGACGGUACCUAGGGAAUCAGCAUCGGCUAACUCCGUG